rnacentral:tRNA from 1 species
GGCUGGGUGGCAGAGUGGUUAUGCAGCGGGCCCGCAAAACCGGGGACGCCGGUUCGAUUCCGGCUUCAGCCUCCA